AGAGUUUGAUCAUGGCUCAGCCUGAACGCUGGCGGCGUGGCUAAGACAUGCAAGUCGUACGGUGUAGCAAUACACAGUGGCGAACGGGUGAGUAAUGAAUCGCUAACGUGCCCCGGGACUCUGGGAUAGCUUUCCGAAAGGGAAGGUAAUACCAGAUGAGACCACGAACAGGCAUCUGUUUGUGCUCAAAGGUCCGCCGGUCUGGGAGCGGGCGAUUUCGUAUCAGCUAGUUGGUGAGGUAACGGCUCACCAAGGCGACGACGCGUAGCCGGACUGAGAGGUUGGCCGGCCACAUUGGGACUGAGACACUGCCCAGACUCCUACGGGGGGCUGCAGUAACGAAUCUUCCGCAAUGCACGAAAGUGUGACGGAGCGACGCCGCGAUGUGGGACGAAGUUCUUCGGAAUGUAAGACCACUGUCAGGGGUAAGAAAGUUCUGAUCUACCCCAGAGGAAGGCACGGCUAACUCUGUGCCAGCAGCCGCGGUAAGACAGAGGUGCCGAGCGUUAGGCGGAAUCACUGGGCUU
rnacentral:rRNA from 1 species